rnacentral:rRNA from 1 species
GUACUUGGUGUUACUGCGAAGGGGGGACGGAGAAGGCUAUGUUGGCCGGGCGACGGUUGUCCCGGUUUAAGCGUGUAGGUGUGUGUUCCAGGUAAAUCCGGUUCACUUUAACACUGAGGCGUGAUGACGAGGCACUACGGUGCUGAAGCAACAAAUGCCCUGCUUCCAGGAAAAGCCUCUAAGCAUCAGGUAACAUCAAAUCGUACCCCAAACCGACACAGGUGGUCAGGUAGAGAAUACCAAGGCGCUUGAGAGAACUCGGGUGAAGGAACUAGGCAAAAUGGUGCCGUAACUUCGGGAGAAGGCACGCUGACACGUAGGUGAAGUGAUUUACUCAUGGAGCUGAAGUCAGUCGAAGAUACCAGCUGGCUGCAACUGUUUAUUAAAAACACAGCACUGUGCAAACACGAAAGUGGACGUAUACGGUGUGACGCCUGCCCGGUGCCGGAAGGUUAAUUGAUGGGGUCAGCGCAAGCGAAGCUCCUGAUCGAAGCCCCGGUAAACGGCGGCCGUAACUAUAACGGUCCUAAGGUAGCGAAAUUCCUUGUCGGGUAAGUUCCGACCUGCACGAAUGGCGUAAUGAUGGCCAGGCUGUCUCCACCCGAGACUCAGUGAAAUUGAACUCGCUGUGAAGAUGCAGUGUACCCGCGGCAAGACGGAAAGACCCCGUGAACCUUUACUAUAGCUUGACACUGAACAUUGAGCCUUGAUGUGUAGGAUAGGUGGGAGGCUUUGAAGCGUGGACGCCAGUCUGCGUGGAGCCGACCUUGAAAUACCACCCUUUAAUGUUUGAUGUUCUAACGUGGACCCGUAAUCCGGGUUGCGGACAGUGUCUGGUGGGUAGUUUGACUGGGGCGGUCUCCUCCUAAAGAGUAACGGAGGAGCACGAAGGUUGGCUAAUCCUGGUCGGACAUCAGGAGGUUAGUGCAAUGGCAUAAGCCAGCUUGACUGCGAGCGUGACGGCGCGAGCAGGUGCGAAAGCAGGUCAUAGUGAUCCGGUGGUUCUGAAUGGAAGGGCCAUCGCUCAACGGAUAAAAGGUACUCCGGGGAUAACAGGCUGAUACCGCCCAAGAGUUCAUAUCGACGGCGGUGUUUGGCACCUCGAUGUCGGCUCAUCACAUCCUGGGGCUGAAGUAGGUCCCAAGGGUAUGGCUGUUCGCCAUUUAAAGUGGUACGCGAGCUGGGUUUAGAACGUCGUGAGACAGUUCGGUCCCUAUCUGCCGUGGGCGCUGGAGAACUGAGGGGGGCUGCUCCUAGUACGAGAGGACCGGAGUGGACGCAUCACUGGUGUUCGGGUUGUCAUGCCAAUGGCACUGCCCGGUAGCUAAAUGCGGAAGAGAUAAGUGCUGAAAGCAUCUAAGCACGAAACUUGCCCCGAGAUGAGUUCUCCCUGAGACUUAGAGUCUCCUGAAGGAACGUUGAAGACGACGACGUUGAUAGGCCGGGUGUGUAAGCGCAG